rnacentral:lncRNA from 1 species
GUAUAGCUGUUCAGAAGAGAUCCUGACCGUGGCUGCUAUGCUGUCUGUCAACAAUUCCAUCUUCUACCGGCCCAAGGACAAGGUUGUCCAUGCUGACAACGCCCGUGUCAACUUCUUCCUCCCUGGUGGGGACCACCUGGUUCUGCUGAAUGUGUACACGCAGGUCACUGGGCACAUGGAGAUUUGGGAAGUCUGGGGGACUUGAGUCCUGCUGUGUACUUAAGGCCUUUAAUCUCCACAGUGGGCAGAGAGCGGCUACUCUUCCCAGUGGUGCUAUGAAAAUUUCGUACAGUUCAGAUCCAUGCGCCGAGCCCGGGAUGUGCGGGAACAACUAGAGGGGCUCUUGGAGCGCGUGGAAGUUGGCUUGACUUCCUGCCAAGGUGACUACGUUCGUGUGCGAAAG